AGUGGCGGACGGGUGAGUAACGCGUGGGUAACCUGCCUUGUACUGGGGGACAACAGUUAGAAAUGACUGCUAAUACCGCAUAAGCGCACAGGACCGCAUGGUCUAGUGUGAAAAACUACCGGUGGUGUGAGAUGGACCCGCGUUUGAUUAGCUAGUUGGUGGGGUAACGGCCUACCAAGGCGACGAUCAAUAGCCGACCUGAGAGGGUGACCGGCCACAUUGGGACUGAGACACGGCCCAA
rnacentral:rRNA from 1 species